GUAUAGGAGCUGACGCCGGCCCGGUGCUGGAAGGUUAAGGGGAUCGGUUAGAGCAAUCGAAGCAGUGAACUUAAGCCCCAGUAAACGGCGGCCGUAACUAUAACGGUCCUAAGGUAGCGAAAUUCCUGGUCGGGUAAGUUCCGACCCGCACGAAAGGCGUAACGAUUUGGGCACUGUCUCAACAACAGACUCGGUGAAAUUGUAAUUCCGGUGAAGAUGCCGGAUACCUGCGACAGGACGGAAAGACCCCAUGGAGCUUUACUGUAGCUUGACAUUGGGUCUUGGUACUACAUGUACAGGAUAGGU
rnacentral:rRNA from 1 species